UACGUAGGGGGCUAGCGUUGUCCGGAAUCAUUGGGCGUAAAGAGCGUGUAGGCGGCCAGGUAGGUCGGUUGUGAAAACUGGAGGCUCAACCUUCAGAGGUCGACCGAAACCAUCUGGCUAGAGUCCGGGAGAGGAGAGUGGAAUUCCUGGUCGUAGCGGUGAAAUGCGCAGAUAUCAGGAAGAACACCCGUGGCGAAAGCGGCUCUCUGGAACGGUACUGACGCUGAGACGCGAAAGCGUGGGGAGCGAACAGG
rnacentral:rRNA from 1 species